AUGUCUACGUCAGAGGGUUCGGAGACUGCUGAUUCCAUGGAUGAGGAUACGAGUCAAAUACCACAUGUUAGAAGGUCCAAGGUAUGGGAGCAUUAUGAAGUAGAUUUGGUUCUCGUAGAUGGCGAUUUCAAGGUUGUGUGCAGAUACUGUGGAGCACAACUUCACACCAAGUUUGGGACUAGCAGUUUGAGGACCCAUAUUGCAGAGGCUUGCCGAUCAAUCCAAGAUGCUUGCAGACAAAGGUUUUUGUUGACCAUGAAAACAAACAGCUGA
rnacentral:rRNA from 1 species